rnacentral:tRNA from 1 species
UUAACCUAAUGCUAGAAAGUCCGAGUAAUUCCACUGUUGAUGGAAAAAGGAGGUAGAUCCUCAGGUUAAA